rnacentral:rRNA from 1 species
GGCUCAGGACGAACGCUGGCGGCGGGCNUAACACAUGCAAGUCGAACGCACUCGACCUUCGGGUCACAUGAGUGAGUGGCGAACGGGUGAGUAACACGUGAGAAACCUGUCCCGAAGACUGGAAUAACCCGAGGAAACUCGGGCUAAUACCGGAUAUCCCCACCGGAUCACAUGAUCUGGUGAGGAAAUGCUCCGGCGCUUCGGGAGGGUCUCGCGGCCUAUCAGUUAGUUGGUGAGGUAACGGCUCACCAAGGCAUCGACGGGUAGCUGGUCUGAGAGGACGAUCAGCCACACUGGGACUGAGACACGGCCCAGACUCCUACGGGAGGCAGCAGUGGGGAAUCUUGCGCAAUGGGCGAAAGCCUGACGCAGCCACGCCGCGUGAGGGAUGAAGGCUUUCGGGUUGUAAACCUCUUUCAGCAGGGACGAAAAUGACGGUACCUGCAGAAGAAGCUCCGGCCAACUACGUGCCAGCAGCCGCGGUAACACGUAGGGAGCAAGCGUUGUCCGGAUUUAUUGGGCGUAAAGAGCUCGUAGGCGGUUCGGUAAGUCGGGUGUGAAAACUUGAGGCUCAACCUCAAGAGGCCACUCGAUACUGCUGUGACUGGAGUCCGGUAGAGGAGUGUGGAAUUCCUGGUGUAGCGGUGAAAUGCGCAGAUAUCAGGAGGAACACCGACAGCGAAGGCAGCACUCUGGGCCGGUACUGACGCUGAGGAGCGAAAGCAUGGGGAGCGAACAGGAUUAGAUACCCUGGUAGUCCAUGCCGUAAACGUUGGGCACUAGGUGUGGGGUCUAGCUAACAGAUUCCGUGCCGCAGCUAACGCAUUAAGUGCCCCGCCUGGGGAGUACGGCCGCAAGGCUAAAACU